rnacentral:lncRNA from 1 species
UAGAGCACCACUGGGUUCAAUCCCCAGUACUGGGGGUGGGGGAGAAUGACCUUCCUUGAGGGAACUAUUAGUUCAUCCAAAGUUUAUGUAGCUAUGUGCUCUACCCUAACAAUACAGGAAAUAAGAAAGGUAACAGAAAACAUGCAUAUGUAACUAAAGCAAGAACUGACAGCUGACAGUUAAAUAUGACUAAAUAAAUAACAAGUUGAUGUGUUUUUUUUUUUUUAAUAGACAUGCUUGUUUAUCUACUGUAGGAGAAAUACCCAUCUUGGUAAAUCUUUCAGAUAUUGCAUCCUUAAUUAGGAGUAUUAAUGAAAGAAUAUUGUCAUAUUAUGCAUGGUCUGCUUUAAAGUUUAAAAAGGCAUGUUGUGAGCUAGGGAUGUAGCUCACUAGUAGAAUUGCUUAGAAUUUGCAAGGCCCUUGGUUAGAUUCCCAGCAUAUUUCUCUCUCUCUCUCUCUCUCUCUCUCUCUCUCUCUCUCUCUCUCUCUCACACACACACACACACACACACACACACACACACAUUGGGGAAAAGACAAAGAAGAAGAAGAAGGCAUGUUCUGCAUUAUUCCAUCCAUGGUAGUUAAAGUAACACUUUUAGACUUUAGAAGGAUAAAUGCCAUUUGACUGAAGGUCAUUUAUGUGGAAUGUUUCAUUCCUGUGCAACACUGGAUAAUCUGUUAUUAUAUUACAUUUUGACAAUGGUCUGUGCCUUGGUUUUUCAUUAAUCCAAAUCAAUCUUAAAUCUUCAAAAUGAGAAUGAAACUUGCCACUUUUACCAGUGUGCUGUGAUAUUUUAGUAACUUUUCAAAGGUAAUUAAG